UGUUAUUCUCUUUUGAUUGUACUUCAGAUGUGAUGUAGUCUUGCAUCUUGCAAGACUUUUCCACAGUCUUGCAGUAGAAAAAAAAGGUUUAUAUGUUUUGCAAUAUUUAAACUUGCUUUUGACAAAAUCUCUUGAUUUUCAGAACAACUUUUUGAAGUAGGUAAGACAAGUGUCUUAGUCAGUUCAGGCUGCUAUAAUAGAAUACCACAAACUGGGCAGACUGAGCAACCAACGUGUAUUUCUCACAGUUCUGAAAGGCUGGAACUCUGAAAUCAGGGUGCCAACAUGGUUAGAGUUUUGUUGUCAGCCCGUCUCCUGGUCCACAGAUAGCUGUCACUUCAUUGUAUCCUCACAUGGCAGAGAACAAAGAGGAAAAGCAAGUUCUUUCCUGUCUCUUCUUAUAAGAGCUCUGUGAUGGUUAAUAUUAAGGGUCAACAUGAUUGCAUUGAAGGAUGCAAAGUAUUGUUUCUGGGUGUGUCUGUGAGGGUGUUGCCAAAGGAGAUUAACAUUUGAGUCAGUGGACUGGGAGAGCCAGACCCAGCCUUAAUCUGGAUGGGCACCAUCAAAUGGCUGUCAGCAUAGCUAGAAAAAGCAGGCAGAUGAAGGUGGAAAAGCUAACUUGCUGAGUCUUCCAGUCUUCAUCUUUCUCCCCUGCUGGAUGGUUCCUGCCGUUGAACAUCAGGAUCCAGGUUCUUUGUCUUUUGGACUCUUGGACUUACACCAGUGGUUUUCCAGAGGCUCUCAGCCCUGCAGCCACAGACUGAAGGCUGCAUGGUUAGCUCCCCUACUUUUGAGGUUUUGGGACUCUCACUGAGCCACUACUGGCUUCCUUGCUCUCCAGCUUACAGACAGCCUAUCGUGGGACUAAUACCUUGUGAUCACGCUUUGGUAUCAAGAUGAUGCUGGCCUCAUAAAAUGAGUUAGGAAGGAUUCCCUCUUUUUCUAUUGAUUGGAAGAGUUUCAGAAGGAAUGGUACCAGCUCCUCCUCUUACCUCUGGUAGAAUUCGGCUGUCAAUCCAUCUGGUCCUGGACUUUUUUUGGUUGAGAAACACAUAGUCAAGCUUUCACUUCUUGUUUCCAUAUGACAAAAAAGCAAAGAAAAAAAGAUCAACUUUUCAUGCUACUGGAUAAGAUAAACUUUCAAAGUAAGAGGGAACAUUUUACUGUUGUGCACCUGGGUAUGCUAUUCAUGGUAAAUGGAAGCAGAAGAGAAAUUAAGCUUUGUUUCAGUACUGAAUUAAAUUAUCAAGAGCGGAGUGAGAAGACAGCUAUUUUUAUUGUACCACCAUACCUUCUGUAAUCUGCUACUAUAUAUUCGGUCAACAAUUCUUGUGGAAAAAAAAGUUGCAAGUAACCAAAAAAAGAGUGUUUGGAAAAAAUAAGUCUAAAUUGUGUCACCAGUGAAACAAUACAAAAUGAAACAACCACAACAAAAACACUUGAAUGGCUCUAUUGAGGCAGUAAUGCCAUCCAAACCCAGAGCAACACAUGGACUGUUCAUCUCACGUUGUUUUCCACAUUUUUUGCACAGUGACUAUUUGUAACUACAUGUAUAUGCAAAAGCAUAUUAUGAAAAUCCAGUAGCAGAUAGAAGUCUUUGGUUAAAGUUGGAAUAACAAACACAUAAAUAUGAAAAUGAUAUAACAGGAUGGAGCAAAAAUAGAAGACAAAGGAACGAAGGUACAGUAAAUUAAGUGAUUUCUGGUUAGGACUUUAAUUCAUUUGGACUCUUCCCCUUUCAACCGCUCUAAAAAGUAAAAUAUGCAGGUGUUUUCCAAACAAAGUUACAGGCUUUCAAUUAUAAAAUUAAGAAGUUCUAUAAUUCUUUGGGAAAUUAAUAUGCUAAAUAUCAUCAUUCUGAAUUGACUUUAGUCUAAAAUUCACCUAUGAUGUGUUAAUGCAGUCAAUACAGAGUCAGGUUCGAAAGUGUUAGAAGAGAUUUAGAAAAGUAGUAACAUCUGUUCUAAAAGAUGCUUGAUGAUGUAUUUAUAUAUUGAUUUAUAUAUACACUUAAAGAAAUUCAAGAAACAUCUGUAAAGUCCUAAGCUAUUUUAUAGGAUUCUGGAUUUGGUAACCUAUCUGCUGUUUGUUUCUCAGCAAGUGUUCAAGAACACGGCUCCCAGCGUUUUGGUGUUUGCCCCCGGAAAGAUGAUGGGGGCCUUUUCUUUGAUGCCUGACCUGAGGAAAUCCUUUCAUAUAUUAAAAUCAUAGCCUAGUGGUAUUGUUUCAAGGGAAUAUCCGUUGAUUUAUCCAAGAGCUUGUGCAAGCUCUAGGGUACAACAAGGUUUAAUACAGAUUUAUUACAAGACUUAGUUGUUAUUUUUAUUAUUCCAGAAUACGUAAAGUCAAGACAGAAAUAAUAAAUAUCUCUGUUACUUGAAAGUCAGGGCUCUAGUCACUCAAGCAAAAAUGUCAGACAUGUAUUGUUUUUAUACCCUAAAGAAUUGUGGCAUGGUCAGUCAGAAGGUAAAACAACACAGUGGCUGUUAGAGAAGUAACUGUGUAAGUACCUCAGUAGAUAAAGCUGUGGCAUUUUAGUUGCCCUCACACAAGAAGAAAAGAGCAGAAGCAUAACAACUUUGCACUCAAUUGAGCAAGAAAAUGGGAAUGAGCAUUAUUUCUUGUGAUUUGAAGAGAAAUACCUUUUUUUGUUUGUUUGUUUUUUACUUGAUUGAAGGAUUGAGGUUUGAAAAGACAGAUGGCUAAAUUUGUUUAAGAUUCUGAGUCCAUUCAGUUUUUUGCCACUGUCAUAUAAUGCAUGUUUCCAAAUUAAACCAAUCAUAUUUUCCCUUUCCUGUGAAUUCUAGGAUAGCACAUAUCACACUCACUCUUAUAUCUUAGCUACUUAUGCACAUCUGAAGUUCUUGGUAAAAUUAUAAGCUCCUGGGCAACAGGGGCAUUUCAUCUGCUUAUUGUGUCCUACAACACUUAAAGCAAUGCUGUGCACAGCUUGGGUUCUCUUUAAAUAUUUAGCACAUCAGUAGGCUUUGCAACAAACGGGAUAUUCACAAUGAAGAAAUAAUACUAUAGACAAGUUUGGAGCUCAAAAACUCCAACGAAUGUAGUUGACUUGAAAUACAUGUAUGCAUUUUGUGGUGCUUUGUAUACAAAAAAAGUAAAACAUGAAAUUAAAGAAGAAACUACAAAAAUAUCUUUGCUACUUCUUCAGAGACUUAAAACAACAACAACAACUACAACUGCAACAACAACAUUUGGCUGGGUGUGGUGGCUCAUGGCAGUAAUCCCAGCACUUUGAGAAGCCAAGGCAGGAGGAUCACUUGAGACCGGGAGUUUGAAACAAGUCUGGGCAACACAGCAAGACCCCCAUCUCUACAAACUAUUUUUUAAAAAAUUAGCUGGGCAUGGUGGUGCAUGCCUAUAGGAUUAGCUACCUGGGAGGCUGAGGGUGUUGGAUUGCUUUAGCUCAGGUGUUUAAGGCUACAGUGAGCUAUGAUCAUACCACUUGCAUUCCAGCCUGGGUGACAAAGUGAGACUCUGUCUCUAAAAUUAAAUUAAAUUUAAAAAACACUGUCUAUCCCCUGCAAAGUUUUACAAUACUGAUGUAAUUAUUUAGUUUUAAUCAGGUUGGCCAGUUUCUGGCAGGUGCUGCAAAAGCAACAUUUAAAUAGAAUAUGGCUAGAUGGACUGCUUUCAUAUGUGCAAAUGCUGCAGGUUUUCCCAAAAUAACCUGUUAGAAAUUUCAUUGCUAUUUUCUUAAGACUUAAAGAAUGCUGCCUAAAAUAUGGAUGAUAAAAUUCUGUUUUUCUAAAGGCAAAAUCAAUACAUUCUGUGAUCUAGAAAAGAUGAUUUCGAAAACUAAGAGCAGAACAGGAACAUAUAGGGAGAGGUGCAUAUGUGUUUGUUUUGCAUCUUAAUUUUAAAACUAUUAUUUGGAGAUAAAUCUUAUCUUUAAUUUCAUAAUCUACUUUGCAUGAAGGCAUUUGUGUUUCACUAAGAGGUCACUUACCUGUACAUCUUUUUGUACGUUUAAGGAGUCAAUGGAAAUAAAAUUACAAAAAAGGGCUUUUAUCCCCCCAAGAAAUUAGAUCUUAGCAAGGAUCUCUUAUUCCCUACUCAGUCAGAGGAACUGGCACUCCAUUGAUCUCUGUAGAACAUCCUAAGGUCUCCAGUAGAAUAAAUCAAGAAAUAAAUAUAUAAUAUAUAAUACACAAAUAUAUACAAUACUAAGUGUGUGUGUGUGUACUUAAAUGUUUGUGCAUGAGAGAAUGUAUAAUUACAGUUUAUAAUGCUCCUUCAAUAUGAAUACUAAGUUCACCGUGUUCUUUAUAAUAAGGUUCUGGGGACUUGGGGCAGAGCAAGGUGGAGGAAUAGAAGGCUCCACCGAUUUUCCACCCAAAACGGACACCAAUUUAACAACUAUCCACACAAGAAAAAACCUGCAUAAGAACCAAAUACUAGGUGAGCACUCAAAGUACUUGGUUUUAACUUCAUAUUGCUGGAAGGCACUGAAGAGGUAGGAACAUCAGUCUUGAAUCACUAGGGCCAAACCUCCCCCCAGUGCCAGCAGCAGUUGUGUGAUGCUGAGAGCGUGACUGUGAUAGCAAUGCCAUAUAUCUUGAUUGUGAUUGUGUAUACAUGGUUACAUACAUUUGUCAAAAUUCAUCAAGCUGUACAUUGAAGGAUGGAGAAUCUUACUGUAUGUGAAUUAUACCUCAAUAUACCCAGUAAUUGUGACUUGAGUAAUAAGACUAUCAUAUCAAGAUGUUGUCUGAUAGACCAGAUAUUGUGGGACUACCAACUCCUUGAUUGGAAUAACAUUCUAUAAAUGUACUUAAAACUGGUGUUUGAUUUAGGACAACCAUUUUACAGUUUUGUUUCAUAUCAAGCUUGUAAUCCAUUAAAACAUCCUAUAUGUAUCUAGUUUCUAAAAAAUUAAAUGCAGUAUUUGAUACUAAUACUUUAAAGAUUUCAUCUUAUGUAUUUAAAUCUAUCAUAUGAACUUGAUGAAAUCUUUUGUAAUCUACAUAUUGUUAUACAAAGGAUUAGAUAUUCUAUACAGUCUUGCGUCAUUUACAAUUGAGUCAAUAUGUUUUUUCACAAAUCAUCAGAAAAAUGCAAAUAAAAAAACCACAAUGAGAUACCACCUUACCCCAGCCACAGUGGCCAAUAUUAAAAAGUUAAAAAAUAGAUAUUGGCAUAGAUUUUGGUGAAAAGGGAAUGCUUAUAAGCUGUUGGUGGGAAUGUAAAUUAGUACAACCUCUAUGGAAAACAGUAUGGAGAUUCCUCAAAGAACUAACAGUAAAUCUACCGUUCAACACAGCAAUCCCACUACUGUGUGUAUACUCAAAGAAAAAUAAAUCUAAAUAAAUUAAUGAAAUAUCUUCGUCCUUAAUCAUUGAUAAAAUCUUCAAUAUUGGAAGUGAAGUUACAUAUGUUCUGGAUGUUAUCAUUUUAGUUCUUUUUUAUUUGAAAGAAACGCUUUAAAUAUUUCUUUUAAUUUUUACUACUGGUGAAUUGUUUUAAUUAAAUCAUGUAAAUUACUGUAAAGUUUUGUUUUCUUCAUAUCUCUUAACAUUUAUAGAUUUGAGUGUUUAUAAAAUGUAUAAACUUUAUAUAUUUGAGAGUUUUAAAAAUAUAUAAUUUUUUAAAAAUGAUGUCAUAUUACAUUUUUGUAUGAGAAUAUAUCUUGUUAUUUACAUUCAUUCCAUAAAAUUAGGUAUAUAUAAGUAAUCCCCAUUGUUUGAAGUUACAUAAUGCUAUCCUUUGCUUGAAGUUGUGAUAUUCCUAACCUUCUAAAUUGUUCUGUGAAACAUGAACACAUACACACACAGACACACGAUCUCAACAGAAAAAAAUAUUUUCUAUACACAUUACAGUUCAUUUUUAGAUUUGUUAGUGUGCAAACAUUUUCAAUUAUAGAACAGAAAAGAUUCCUCUUCCAAAAAGUGAGGUACAUGUUGACAUGUAUGUCAUCAUUUGUGAAUCAUCAAUCAUCAUUUGUGAUUGAGAAACCAUGCUGCAUUCUCACAUAAUUAGGUUUGGAUACUGAAAUAUUUUAGUCCUGUUAUAAGAUGUGCAAAGAUAUUUUAAAUAGCAUUAUAUUCUCAGAAAUAACAUUAUGUAGAUUUAAUACUUCUUAAUAAUUAACUAUUUCUAUUUACCCAUCAAUUUCAAUGAUUAAAUAUCUUUCAAGAUUCUCAAAAUAGAAAACUUGUAACACACGAUAAGAAAAUGACACAUUUUUAAACCAACCCUCCUCUAUUUCUGGAUACUUGAGAUCACUAUUUCUUCUACCUUAUAAUCCACUCAUUCAGAAAUAUCUUAAAUUUCCAAGGGAGACAUCCGAGGCUCAUUUGGUUUUGCAAGUUUUCCAGGCAGGUAAGAAUCAAGGAAUUCAAAGUAGCACACAGAGCAGGAGAAAUUAACUUACAGAUAUGGAUAUAAUUUAGGCAUGCACACAGGGGCUUGGCUGAUUUUAAAUGUACAGAAUUAUCUACUUCAUGUUUCAUAAUGUCUUCUUUAUUGUACUACAUAUGGAAAUGCCAAUAAAAACUAUUAAGCUAAAAAAUAGUUUAUGAAAGUUGUAAAAUGUUAGUUUGCAUUACACUUCAAUCAAAAUUAUGGCUAAUUCAAAGCUCUGUUCAUUACCUCUCUCUUUUUCUAGUUCAGUUCCUGCAAUACUCCCCAAAAAGUCCUGUGGGCAUCUAGAUGAAAGAUUGGUUCCAAUAUAUAAAUUAAUAGACAUUGAGGCUAAGAGGAAACCACCCCUAAGUUGUGGUAUGAUUGUUUUCAUACUGAGAAAUAGCACAUAUUUUAUCUGUAGUGAAAUUCAUAAUAAGAAUGCAGAAAUAAAAGUGUGAACUCUACUAAUAAACAGGAAAAAAUAUUCUGCUAAAUUUUUUAAAUUAGGUGAGAAGUGACAAAAUAUUUUCAAAAAUAAGUAACUCCAAUGAAACAUACAAAAUAUAUGAUUUUUCAGGAUACUGAGAAAACAUGUUUUCUUUUUCCACAAGUAAUUUUUCGAACAAUAUUUUCUAAACCUUUUAAAUUUAGUUAUCACUAUAUUCUUGCUCUCAGGGGGCCCACACAGCAGUUGUAAAUAUAGGACAGGUCUCACAUUUACUUAAAACAUGAAUGAAGAGGAAGAAAUUCAAAAGUAACCAAGCUUAUCAUAAAAUGUCAAGAUUACAGAAUUGGGAAUUUGAGAGCUAAAUUCAUACAUUUUUUAAAAAUAUAUUUUUGUAUACCUUCUCUAUAACUGUGUGACUCAUGUCUUCUACAAAUACGACUAUAAAAGAGUAGCAAGUGAAGAAUUCCAGAACAUAGGAAAUUAGUUAAGGUAUAUUGAUAAAAUGUCAGCAAUAGAUCAUUUCUUAAAACACUUACACAACAUUUGAUGCAUAUUUAAAAAUAAGUGAAAAAAUCAAGAAAUGUCAAAAUAUAGAGAAAUGGUCGGUUUUGCAUAAUAAUUUGAUACAAUAGUGUUUCGUCUUACCUCUACUACCAGUUGCUGAAGAGACGGUGAUGCUACAGGAUACAGACUAGAGUUCCCCCUUAUGGGACUGUGGAGGCUAAU